GAGAGGCAGAAAUGGAGGUUGGGUCAGGCCUGGCUCAGACCCUAGGCUCUGUCACUGACUGGCUGUGUGGGUCCAGGAAAGUCCUUGUCCUCUCUGGGCCUCAGUUUCCUCUGAAGAAUGGGAGUGAUAAGCUAUGCCCCAUCUCCUUCACCAAAAGGAAGCAAGACCUGAUGGAGCUGCUGGGUAACUGGAGAUGCCUCCUGCUGGCUCCUUUCUGGGGUCCCUGCCUAGCCCUGUCCUCUCCUCUUACUUUCUGCCCUGGCUGAGUAGGCUGUGGCCAUGUGGUUACUGCCUUCUCUGGGCAUAGCUGAUUGCUUCAUAUGGCCUGACCUAAGGCUGCAUGUCCAAAGUCUGGUUGGUGGCCAGUCUAACUCACUUUUGAGAACCUGCACUAAAAGAGGUAGGGGGUGGGAAAAACUGGGCAGGCCAGCGGAGGUGGGGAGUGGCAGCUCUGAGACCUGAAGCCUCAGAACCAGCUCUCCUCCUCCUCUUCCUCCUCAAGAUGGACCUCAACUCACUGAACUCUGGUUCACUCUUUUGGUCCCAGAGCUAAUUCUUUGGUUGUUUAAGGUUUAGCAUAGGAGACCCCAAAGCAGCAAGGUUCUGGCCCUGGUUCUGCCACUUGCCAGCUCCACGCCCUCAGAUCAGUGGCUUCAGAGCCUCAACGUGCUCAGCUGUGAAACAGGGACAGGGUGAGGCCUUCCCAGGUAUGAUCCACUGUGCCCAUCCUGGAUGCAGACUUUAAGCAGAGUCACAUCAACAAGAAGAGCUGUGAAGGUCAGGGCAUGACCCACAGAUGCCCAAACACUGCACUGGAGGUCCAGGAAGAUUCUGCUGACAACGCAACCCUGAGCCAAGAUCUGAAGGAUAAGAGGGAGCUUAUAACAUGGAAGAAGGAACAGUAUUCCUGGCAAGUGGAACAGCAUGUGCAAAGAUGAGGACAUGGGCCCAGAGAGGUUAUGUGAGUGACACAGCUUGAAGGUGGAGUUAAGCCUGGGCAGUCUGGCUUCAGAGUGUCCACAGUCUCAACCACUGCCUCACAUGGCUUCUUAGAAAAUAUUAUAAAAAGAAGCUCGGGCUGCCAUGUGGAAAAGAAUGGAGAGGGGACAAUGACACAGCUGGGAGCAUGCUGUGAUGGUGUACAGCGGACACAUUCAGGAUGAGGUGAAACAGGCUGGCCCUGGUGAGAGGCUAGAUGGGGCUGGGAUGAGGGUGGAGACAAGUAGUCUUGGGGUUGGCUUGGUGCAGCUGGGGGGUGCGGGGAGUGUCUCUGAGGUGAGGCCGGGGGUAUGGGAACGCCAUGUUUGGUCUGGGACACGGUGGGCUUGGGAUGGCUACAGGACAGUGCAGUGGAGAGUCAAAAAGGCUGCUCGGACCCAGGUCUGGCGAGAUGGAAGCUGGAGGUCAGGUGAGCUGUCUAGGAGAGGGACAGAGUGGGAAGGAGAGGGUCUCGACUCGGCUUUCUUGCCAAAGGAGGGUUCCGAAAUGAGAAACUGUGGAAUCUAAGCUGGAGAGGAAGAAAGACGGAGAAUGAGUGAACGCACACGUGUGGGACAGAUAGAUGAAUAUUCAUGUCUUUGGCUCCUAUGUACCUGAGUCUUCUAAAGCUGCAGGCCAUACUACCCCCGGGAGGCUGCAGGGAUGCCAGCUGGGAGAUGAAUGCAACUCUGCUGCCUGGGCAUGGGCCUGAGUGAGGGUGCAGACCCCUGCCUGUGAUCAUCAGGGAGGGUGAUGAGAACAAGGUGGCUGACAGGGUGAGGCCCAAGCCUGGAGCUUACCCAGGUGCGGGGAUGGGAGGGUCAGAGACCUUUGGGGGGUCUUAGGGAGCUUCCCCAGCCCUAAAGGCACCGCAAGCUGCCACUUCACACUGACCUGGGCAUACGCAGCUGCAGGAUCCCUUGCUCGCUCUCUCACAAGCAAAUGUAGACUGCGCAACCAUCCUGACCACAGAUCCAGAAAGCCCAGGACAUAACAGAGCCGCAGUGCCUGCCCUGAUCCACGCGCACACAGAUCUAGCCCAGGAACAAGCCCAUCCACGGUGAGGAACUUGUGGCCCAGUGGCUGGAGCCUCUCACCUGAGCCCUCACUGCCUGAGGACCCCCAGCCUCUGGCCUCAUUUCCCACCCUUUGCCAGCCAGCCUUGGGGACAAAACAGGUCUGGAUCUAAUCCAAGGUCUGGACUCACCCUGACACCCUGUGAACUCAAGGCCUUCCCUACCUCACCCUGGGCCCAGAGCCCCUACCUGUAAAGUGGAAGUGGGAAUGGCCACCAGCCAGGCAGAAACCCUCACUUAGGGCCUCAUGGCCAGGCAUCAGGACAGUCAGGAGAGGGGCCGAGGUAAGCCACAGAGGCCCUGCCUGUCUUGGUAUCCCACCAUCGCCAGGAGGGGACUGCAUGGGCAUCACACCCCUCACAGAUGAACAAAGUGAGGCAGAGAAGGGCCUCAAGAUGAGUUAGGGGCGAGGCCCCAGCUCUGCUGCUGCCCCUUCCCUUAUCACCCCUGCAGCCUGGGAUGCGAGGGUGGCCAGUGACAGACCCCAAGGACUCUAGGCUAAGGUCUCCUUACCUGCGUUCUGUGGCCUGCUCCCCGCCUGCAUGCCGCCUCAUGGGGGUCCUCUGGCUGGCCCAGGAGCACGGUUGGCCCAGCAGAGCAGCUCAGUGUUAUGGGGAAGGGAGGCCCAGCCCACCACGCCGACCGCCUGGGGCCCUAUGUAUAUUUAAUGAUGUCUAUUAUUCCUGUUUUGUCUCUGGAAAGGAGUGAGCAGCUGACAGGGGAGCCACGAACAGCCUGGAGAGCUGAGCAUGGGCCUGCUCCACACUCCAGCGGGGCCCGAGGCCCCCGGGAACUCUACCCCUCCUGGCAGCCUCACAGAACCUGCUGCAUCCAUCUCAAAAGGCAUACCUCCUCCAGGAAGCCUUCCCCGCUGCUCAGAGGUCUUAAAUCCGGGGUCUGCACUCACAAACUGUGCAGCCUACACCAGCUUCUGGGGGACAGCAGAACACUGUGGGGGGCCUGGCACAGUCCCUGGCACACGGUAGGCACUCAUCGAGCCCCUGCCAGCCCCUCUACUCCUGACUUCUGAGGCAACAGGAAAUGACCCGCCACCUUGUUCUCACAGAGCCUCCCUGCCAGCCCAGAUGGUCACAAGGGCCUCCUGGGAUGCUGCCCACCUUGGCAGCCAGGCCCCUCCGGAGGGGCCAGUCUGGGCCUGACACCCCCGAACACCAACCCCCUGGGCAGAGCCUGCCUGUGCCUGGGUGAGGAACCCUGCAGUCUCCUUGCCACACAAGGCCUGGGUCUGCCUUGGGGCCCAGGCUGCACCCUC
rnacentral:lncRNA from 1 species